rnacentral:pre_miRNA from 1 species
AGAGGGAGAGCUGGGUCAAAUGGUGGUUGCAUUCCAAUUUUAUAAGAAAUCUCUAUAUUACUUUCCAUAUUGGCUGCACCAAUUUUCAGUCCCACCAGCAAU